UCUGGGGGCUUGUGUGGUAGG
rnacentral:miRNA from 1 species